rnacentral:rRNA from 1 species
UACGUAGGGUGCAAGCGUUAAUCGAAAUUACUGGGCGUAAAGCGUGCGCAGGCGGUUAUGCAAGACAGAUGUGAAAUCCCCGGGCUCAACCUGGGAACUGCAUUUGUGACUGCAUGGCUGGAGUGCGGCAGAGGGGGAUGGAAUUCCGCGUGUAGCAGUGAAAUGCGUAGAUAUGCGGAGGAACACCGAUGGCGAAGGCAAUCCCCUGGGCCUGCACUGACGCUCAUGCACGAAAGCGUGGGGAGCAAACAGG